rnacentral:rRNA from 1 species
GUGGGGAAUAUUGGACAAUGGGCGAAAGCCUGAUCCAGCCAUGCCGCGUGUGUGAAGAAGGUCUUCGGAUUGUAAAGCACUUUAAGUUGGGAGGAAGGGCAGUAAGUUAAUACCUUGCUGUUUUGACGUUACCGACAGAAUAAGCACCGGCUAACUUCGUGCCAGUAGCCGCGGUAAUACGAAGGGUGCAAGCGUUAAUCGGAAUUACUGGGCGUAAAGCGCGCGUAGGUGGUUUUGUAAGUUGGAGGUGAAAUCCCCGGGCUCAACCUGGGAACUGCCUCCAAAACUGCAUGACUAGAGUACGGUAGAGGGUAGUGGAAUUUCCUGUGUAGCGGUGAAAUGCGUAGAUAUAGGAAGGAACACCAGUGGCGAAGGCGACUACCUGGACUGAUACUGACACUGAGGUGCGAAAGCGUGGGGAGCAAACAGGAUUAGAAACCCGGGUAGUCC